UAUGGAAAUAUCACUUGUCUCCUUUGAUUUUUCAGCUCCAAGUAAAUGAACCACUGAAGUAGGAGCCAAAAAAAGUGCCCUUGGUCAAGUUCUUCAACUUUGAGUUCUUCAUCCAUGGCCUAAAAUGUGUCGAGUUUCAAUUCAGAGUGGAAUCUGUUCUCCAGGAAAUGUCCUGUUUUGAAGCAGCUGUCACUGUCGCUGCAGUUUUAUGACAGCAAGAUCAUAGAAGAAUUUGAUAUACAUGAGAUCUCCAGUAC
rnacentral:lncRNA from 1 species